rnacentral:rRNA from 1 species
AUUGAACGCUGGCGGCAUGCCUUACACAUGCAAGUCGAACGGCAGCACGGGUGCUUGCACCUGGUGGCGAGUGGCGAACGGGUGAGUAAUACAUCGGAACAUGUCCUGUAGUGGGGGAUAGCCCGGCGAAAGCCGGAUUAAUACCGCAUACGAUCUACGGAUGAAAGCGGGGGACCUUCGGGCCUCGCGCUAUAGGGUUGGCCGAUGGCUGAUUAGCUAGUUGGUGGGGUAAAGGCCUACCAAGGCGACGAUCAGUAGCUGGUCUGAGAGGACGACCAGCCACACUGGGACUGAGACACGGCCCAGACUCCUACGGGAGGCAGCAGUGGGGAAUUUUGGACAAUGGGCGAAAGCCUGAUCCAGCAAUGCCGCGUGUGUGAAGAAGGCCCUCGGGUUGUAAAGCACUUUUGUCCGGAAAGAAAUCCUUGGCCCUAAUACGGUCGGGGGAUGACGGUACCGGAAGAAUAAGCACCGGCUAACUACGUG